rnacentral:rRNA from 1 species
AUUGAACGCUGGCGGCAUGCCUAACACAUGCAAGUCGAACGGCAGCACAGCAGUAGCAAUACUGUGGGUGGCGAGUGGCGGACGGGUGAGGAAUACGUCGGAAUCUGCCCAGUCGUGGGGGAUAACUAGCCGAAAGGUUAGCUAAUACCGCAUACGACCGAGAGGUGAAAGCGGGGGACCGCAAGGCCUCGCGCGAUUGGGAUGAGCCGACGUCGGAUUAGCUAGUUGGCGGGGUAAAGGCCCACCAAGGCGACGAUCCGUAGCUGGUCUGAGAGGAUGAUCAGCCACACUGGAACUGAGACACGGUCCAGACUCCUACGGGAGGCAGCAGUGGGGAAUAUUGGACAAUGGGCGCAAGCCUGAUCCAGCAAUGCCGCGUGUGUGAGAAGGCCUCGGUGUAAGCACUUAUCUAGACGAAGACGUGGAGUAAUACUACUGACGUGCUGACGGUACCGUCGUAGGAAGU